ACAGCAGUAGCCGCGGUAAUGCGAAGGGGGCUAGCGUUGCUCGGAAUUACUGGGCGUAAAGGGAGCGUAGGCGGAUGUUUAAGUCAGAGGUGAAAGCCCAGGGCUCAACCUUGGAACUGCCUUUGAUACUGGACACCUUGAGUGUGGGAGAGGUAAGCGGAACUCCGAGUGUAGAGGUGAAAUUCGUAGAUAUUCGGAAGAACACCAGUGGCGAAGGCGGCUUACUGGCCCAUUACUGACGCUGAGGCUCGAAAGCGUGGGGAGCAAACAGGAUUAGAUACCCGCGUAGUCCCUGUCUCUUAUAC
rnacentral:rRNA from 1 species